rnacentral:lncRNA from 1 species
GGGAAGGCCUAGUACCUCAGGGGGUCCCUGUCCCUGCCAGGUCCCCAGACCCAGCUCAGGCCCUCUGUUCUGUGCUUGCACCGGCUGGGCACUCCAUGCAGCCCGGGAAUGACUUUAGAGUGGCCUGGCCACAUGUGGGGACUGGCUGCACAGUGCCUCAGUGUUUACCCAGGACUCAGCCCCGCCACCCUCAGGGCUGCAACUCUCAGGCCUCCUCCUGAGCAAACGGAAGGGAGCAGAGGCUCUGCUGGGCCAGGCCCAGGCCCUCCCUGCCCAGCCCAGCCCCCUGUGGGCUGUGGGGAACAGGCAGAGACCAUCUUCCUGGACAGUGGCCCAGGAGGAUGUGGCAGGGGGCAGCAGCCGGGCAGCUGAGGCCAGGGCAGCCUGGGAAGUCCGUGCUGGAGCUGUUGUUUGUACCGCGGGCCCUGGGCCACCCCACCCACUCAGGCGGCUUGGCCUCCAGGCCCCUCUCCAGGGGCUGUGUUUCCCAUAACUCUGCUCCCCGGUCAUGAACCUCGGGGCAGGAAGGCCCUCAGAGACCAGCUCCCACUCCACAGUGGACAGAAGAAGCCCAGGCCCAGGGAGCGAACAGGCCUAAGGCCAGCUGGUGAGUGGCUGGGUCAGGAGGGGGCCCUGGAAACCCUGGUUAAUCCCUCCUUCCCCAUGCAGUCCAUGAACUUGACCAUGGACCCUGUGUCCACUGGUUCAUCCCUCCCACUGGGAGCUCCAGCAGACGGAGAAGGGCCUUUGUUCUAUUCCUAGUGUUGGGCAGAGGACCUGGCAAAGGAGCAGGUGAAUGGAGCUCCUACUCCAGUCCUGUGGCCUUCUAAUGCUCCUGUCCCCACCCCUUCGUGCCCUGAGUGUUUGGGGAGGUCAGAAAAGGCAUGAUUUUCUUUGAGUCUCCUGGGCCUUCAGGCAGGACAGCAUGGUCUCCUGGUCUCAUGAUCUCAGAAAAGAGCUUGGGAAUAAUGGGACCUGCCCAGAAGAGGAGAGAGGGGAGGUCCUCAGAGCUAAAACUGGAAUUUGAUCUAGGAUGACCAUUUUGCCCGAAAAGAAGGAUUCCUGGUGUAGGGACCUUUGGUGCUAAAGGAAGUACCCAGGCUGGGGAUGUGGCUCAGUAACAGAGCCCUUGUCUAGCAUGUAGAAGGCCCUGGGUUCCAUCCCCCAGCAUCACAGAAACAAAACUAAAAACAAGAGGUGGGCUGAGGCUGGGCACAGUGGCAAAGCCCUGUAAUCCCAGUGGCUUGGGAGGCUGAGGCAGGGGGAUCACAAGUUCAAAGCCAGCCUCAGCAAAAAAGUGAGGCACUAAGCCACUCAGUGAGACCCUGUCUCUAAAUAAAAUACAAAAUAGGGCUGGGGAUGUGGCUCAGUGGUCGAUGGCCCCUGAGUUCAAUUUAAAAAAAAAGAGGUGGGCUGGGAGUGAGCUCAGCUAGAGUGUUUGCCUAGCCUGUGGGAGGCUCUGGGUUCCUUCUGCAGCCCUGGAAAAAAAAAAAAAAAGAGGCAGAGGUGCUGGCUCCACCUCCUAUUGUGUAACUGUGGAUAAGCUGCUUCUCUCCUGACACCUCAAAGGCUUAUCUGGAAAAGAGUCAAUAUCUACCCUCUGACCCUCCUGGUUGCCAUGAAGUUCUGGGAAGCUAUGGAGGAAAAGUCAGAAUGUGCUAUGUCCCAGGAGAUGUGAGGGCUGGUGGCCAUCCCAGUGAAGGACUUCCUCUUACCCCCCACUCCCACUUCCUGCGAUUCAUUGACUCACCGGCAGACACUGGCUCAGCACCUAGGAUAUGGGGGAAAUGGGAAAUGCUGGGUUGGAAAAGGAAGAGCUCAGCCCUCCUGGAAUUCACAGCACAGGCACGGGCGAUUAGAGUACAGUAAGAAGAAUCUGUUCAGCACAAGUUUUUCAUGAGCAGCUACUAUAUGCCAAACACUUGACUGAAGUAUUUUACAAACAUUAACUCGUUCGAUAUUCAUACAGCCUGUGUACUGAGCUGAGGGUUGACAUUUAUCCUGAAGGUGGCUGACAGGGUGUAGUGGAGGUAGCAGAGGGGCAGUUGGACAGCCCUGGGUUUUUAUGGAUCGAGGCUGUAAGGAGAGCUGGGAGGAGAGAGGAGGCAAGGGAACCUGGUAGCUGCCUCCUGAUGGAUUCCUCUUAUGAUUUAAGUCUUGCCAGGCCAAGAGGGGUCCAGUUAACCCACACUUCUGAUGGAUCAAGGUUCAUGUUUAGCGAGGACCUGGGCACAGCCCGAGGUUGGGGACUUCAAAAGUGCCAGUUAUAAAAAGGCGCCCUUGAAGGGAAGACUCGGUUGGAGCUGGCUCACCACCCGACCGACCCUGAAGCUAGGUAACUGAGUGCUCCAAAGGCCCUUCAAGCCCCGCUACUCCAGCUACCUAGCGAGGACCUGCGGCCAGGGAUAGAGUGAGCGGCAGACACGCGCACAGUCGCCAGGCGAGUAGGUGUCCUAGCCGGGCCUGCGGAAGGCCAGGCCGGAUUUCUGCAAGUUGAGUCCUUGUAGGGCGGGGCCCGAAGCGGGUCUCAGUUUGGGCAGGGGCGGUCCGGAGAAGCCCGGCCUAGCGGAGAAGUCUGUCCCGGAGGUGGGGCGGGGCCGUCAGGGUGGGGCGCCCCGCCCCGGCCCCGCCCCCGCUCCGCGCCUGCCCAUAUAAGGCGAGCGCCGCGCCGAGCGCCCCUGGCGAGCUGCUGUCGUCACGUGUGCCUUCCCGACGGCCCGGGGCACCUUUCCAGGGCCGCCCCGCACCCGCCUUCCUGCCGGGAAGUGCUGCCCCGCCCGCCGCCCGCUGGGUCCCCGCGCACCUGCGUCCGUCACAUCCCAGCGCGGGAAUCAGGCCCGCGCAGUGGGCUGGGUGGGCUUGUCGGACCAGAAAGUGGGGAUCUGGGGUACCCAAACCUGGGGUGGCCGCUGGGUGGGAACACGAGCCUCUGAGGACGGCCGACCUGCCGGACGCCUGCCAAGUGCUGGGCAUUGAACUCGCCUUGUAAAAAAAGAAUCUGCUGGAGCAGAAGGAUCGCGAGUUCAAAGCCAGCCUCUGCAACAGCGCGGCGCUGAGCAGCUCAGGGAGACCCUGUCUCCAAAUAAACUACAAAAUAACGGGAGGAGGCUCAGGGGUCGGUUCCUGAGUUCAAUGCCCGGUCCGAAAAAGAAUCUGCGUGUUCCAAGCCGCGUAGUGAGGCCAGCUCUGGAGCGGUGUGGCCGGGUCUGACUCCCUGCGUUGCUUGAGGCUUUGUGAGCAACUAGUGCAGAUUCUCUGUGCUUCAGUUUCCUCACCUGUAAAAGGGGGUCUUAACGGUUCAUUCAGUGUGAGCGUUAGAUGUGUUAAUAGAAGUCCGCGCUUGCCCUUGAUGAGCCCUUGAUGAAUGGUGGAAAUAGUUGACCCUGAAGGGCCAUGUCCCCAAAGGGGCAGCGAGGAGACCCAAAUCUCUGUGUCUGUGACUCUGAGGGCACCCUUAGCUACCUGGUCUUAUUUGCUGGCUUUAGGGGUCACAGGUGCAGCUCCUAAAACGAACUUUGUACAUCUUUUCCACAUUUCAGCAAAUCCUGAUUUGGGCCAAAAAAAAUAAUGGGCUAGGAUGUCUAACAGCUAUUUAGCAAUCUCCCUAUUUAGCAAAAGAAAGCCCCCAGACUGGGAGCCUUGGCCAGGGGAUAGAAAUUAGGUAAAAUUAAUGAGUUUAUUUUUUUAUAUAUAUAACGUUUUUUUUAGUUGUUCAUAAAAUGAAGUUGUACCUUCAUUUUAUUUUUAUGUGCUGCUGAGGAUCAACCCAGUACCUCAUGCAUGCUAGGCGAGCGCUCUUCCUCUGAGCCACAGCCCCAGCCCACAAGUUUGAAAAUUUAGAAUUACUAUGUUUGUAUGUGCAUGGUACUGACAUUAUAUUCACUAAAUAUACUCCAGACAUAGGGCAUAGAAAGCAGCACAAUGACUCUAAGAUUCCCACCACACACACACUGAGGACUGAACCUGGGGGGCUCUACCACUGAGCUACAUCACGAACCUUAUUAAUUUUUUUUUUUUUUUUGCGGGGGGAGUAUCAGGGGUUGAACUUGUGGGCACUCGGCCACUGACCACAUCCCUAGCCCUAUUUUAUUUAGAGAUAAGGUCUCACUGCCUAGUGUCUCACUGUUACUGAGGCUGGCUUUGAACUCUCGAUCCUCCACCUUCAGCCUCCCAAACCACUGGGAUUAUAGGCGUGGACCACUGCACCCAGCUUAUUUUUAAUUUUGAUGUAGGGUCCCCCUAAGUUGCUGAAGCGGGCCUGAAACUUGGGAUCUUCCUGCCUCGGCCUCCCUGGUUAAUGUUCACUUUUUUGUGUUUUGAUUCUGGGGAUUGAACCCAGGGUCAUGUGCAUGCGAGCUAUAUCCCCAGCCCUAAUGUUCACUUUUAAAAUAUAUAAAUAUAUAAAUGUAUGUGUUAAAAUGUGAGCUGAUCAAAAAGAAAGUCUGUGACAAGGUUUGUACACACCUCCCAUGGCUACCCUAGGCCAGGCAGGAUGAGGAACCAAGUGCCUCUCUCCUUCCAGUCUUGGUGGGAGGGGAGGGUGCCCAGAGGGGCCAUCCGAGGCCCUGGCAGCCCGCCUGCAGCACACACAUGCCUCCGUGCCAGGUUGCCCCUAGACUCCAGGUCCCCUGGGUUAUUACAGCCUGACUUCUCACCACCCGCCCAGCCCCAGGCAGCAUCCCCAACACAGAGCCUGAGGAAUUUUCUAAAGAUAAAGCCCACUUCCUGUCUCUUUCCCCAGUUAGCCUCCCAUGGCUCCCCGGCCUGCAGGAGAAAGACCCUGCUCUUCCCAGGGUGCUCUGAGUGUUCCCGAGCCAUCUGCGGUUGCCUGGAUAUUCGGUUGGUAAAUAUUUAAUGCACAGGAUUCCACACCAAAACCCUCAGGCUCAGCACUGGGGUAAAGCCCAGCAGGCCUGGUUCAUCCCAUGGAAUUUCCGGUGGGGGUGGAUUAAAUACAUAAGUGUAAAUUUAAAAAGAAGAAAAGUGCUACGAAGGGCCCAGCAGCACCCAGGGAGCUUUCACCCUUUGCCGGGAAGGCCCAGCCCAGCAGCCUCCUCUAGAGCUCUGCCUGGCCAUUCCUGUCAUCUUAGGUGCCCGAGGUGUUGUGGUUCCUCGGCUCUUAUCACAGGGGAUUGUGAUUUAUAAGCCUGUCCCCCAUGUUUGAGCUCCUCGAGGAAAGAGGCCGACUCUGGUGACCUGGGACGAUUCAGCUUUCAGUCCCUUGUUCAUUCACUCAUUUUCAUUCAUCCAUAAAUCAGAGGGGCCAGGGUCCCCUUCAUCUGCCAAACCCUGAUACUGAGUAGUAGAUUAAGAGGGUGAGCGCUGGGCUGGGGAUGUGGCUCAAGCGGUAGCGCACUCGCCUGGCAUGCGUGCGGCCCCGGGUUCCAUCCUCAGCACCACAUACAAACAAAGCUGUUGUGUCCGCCAAAGACUGAAAAAUAAAUAUUAAAAUUCUCUCUCUGUCUGUCCCCUCUCUUUCUUAAAAAAUAAAAAUAAAAGAGGGUGAGAGCUGUGCUGCAGCCACUAACAAGACCCCACCAGGUGACAGUUGGACAGGCCUCCUAGGUGUCAGAGUGGGAGAAAAGGAAUUUGAGGAAAGAGGCUGGAGCCAGUGCAGCCAGGUGUGUGGCAAGCGGCUGAGGAAGGGUGAGCUGCAGCCUGGUGGUCAGGGCCUCUGGCCGGCUCCGUUUCCUGCUGGUGGACAGAAGGCCGGAUGAAUGAUCUAAGGCAGCCGUGCCACUUCAAGGUUUUGUGACUGUGACUGGGAGUAAGAAAUACAUCACAUCACAACCUGGCACAAGGCUUAAAAUUGAAACAAAAGUUUCACAAGAUAAUUGAUAGUUUAUUCUUUUUUUUUUAACCUUUGUAUCAUUUAUUUAUUUAUACGUGGUGCUGAGGAUCGAACCCAGGGCCUCACACAUGCUAGGCAAGUGCUCCACCACUGAGCCACAGCCCUAGACCAGAUAGUUUAUUCUUACCCCAGAAUGCACUCUCAUCUCUUUUCUAUUUUAUCAUUAUCAUCACUACUAAAUUCUGAUUUAUUCAAUUUAAGUACUAACUUAAAUAAUUUCAAGAUCACUGGUGGUUCAUGAAAGCAUUAUCUACAUCAGUUUGAGGCCAGCCUCGGAGACUUAGCAAGGCCCUGAUUCAAAAUAAAAAAUAAAAAGCACUGGGAAUGUGGCUCAGUGGUAAGCGCCCUGGCUUCAGUUUCCUGGUAGAAAAAGAAAAGCAUUGACCCCAGUGUCUUUCCAGCCUUGAGCCUGUCUGCCUAGCAGGGACUGUGGGAAGCAGCCCGCCAGAGCAGGACAGGUCUACUGGCUUCCCCCACCAUGCACACCCCAGCCCCCAUCACCAGAAGUCCCCUGGCUGUAGACUCAGGAGACCAAGCUGAGGACAUUUCUUCUACCCUGUCUCUUCCCUGCCCUCUACGCCAAGCUCUGAGUCUCCACUGGACAAUCAGCUCCCUGGCCAGGUUGAAUCAGUGCCACCGACUUCUGGGAGUGGAGUCAGGUAGGUUGGGAAGAAGGAGGGGAGUUGAAGCCCUAACUGGGUUCUGAGUUCUGGAUUCUGAAUCUGUUCCUCCCCCAGGGGCAACUCCUCCCUUCCUGUGUAGGGGAUGGCUUUUUCCUGUGAUCGCCACCUGGCCUGCAGGCCUGGCUUCUUGGCUUAGCAGAGGGUGGAAAUGGUCAGAGUCCCUACCCUCAUGCCCAUCUAAGCCUCGUCCAAAUCUUUCUUCUGUCUGGAUUCUCAGAUUCUGGAGAGAUCGGAGAAACUUGGGGGUAGGAUAAGGGCACCUUGGGCUCCCAGAACAAUGGAGCCAGAAGAGUUCUUAAAAAUGGAAUCCAGCCAGGCGCGGUGGUGCACGCCUGUAAUCCCAGCUGCUGAGGAGGCUGAGGCAGGAGGAUGGAGAAUUCAAAGACAGCCUCAGCAAAAGCGAAGUGUUAAGCAGCUCAGCAAGACCCUGACUCUAAUAAAAUACAGGAUAGGACUGGGGAUGUG